rnacentral:rRNA from 1 species
AUUGAACGCUGGCGGCAUGCCUAACACAUGCAAGUCGAGCGAGCGGCGGACGGGUGAGUAAUGUAUGGGGACUGCCCGAUAGAGGGGGAUAACUACUGGAAACGGUAGCUAAUACCGCAUACUAUCGGAUAACCCAUAUGGGAUUAGCUAGUAGGUGAGGUAAUGGCUCACGUAGGCUACGAUCCCUAGCUGGUCUGAGAGGUUGAUCAGCCAGACUGGGACUAAUACACGGCCCAGACGCCUACGGAGGCAGCCGUGGGGAAUAUGGCACAAUUGGCGAAAGCCUGAUGCAGCCAUGCCGCGUGUAUGAAGAAGGCCCUAGGGUUGUAAAGUACUUUCAGUCGUGAGGCGUUACCGACAGAAGAAGCACCGGCUAACUCCGUGCCAGCAGCCGCGGUAAUUC